rnacentral:misc_RNA from 1 species
AGCAGCCGCGGUAAUUCCAGCUCCAAUAGCGUAUAUUAAAGUUGCUGCAGUUAAAAGCUCGUAGUUGAAUUUCGGGACUAAUAUGUCGGUCGUGCCUCGGUACGUACUGGCUUAUUGGUUUCUCCUUUCUGAAGAACCAUGAUGUCAUUUAUUUGGUGUCGUGGGGAAUCAGGACUGUUACUUUGAAAAAUUAGAGUGUUUAAAGCAGGCUCACGCUUGAAUACAUUAGCAUGGAAUAAUGAAAUAGGACGUUUGAUUCUAUUUUGUUGGUUUCUAGGAUCGACGUAAUGAUUAAUAGGGAUAGUUGGGGGCAUUAGUAUUCAAUUGUCAGAGGUGAAAUUCUUGGAUUUAUUGAAGACUAACUACUGCGAAAGCAUUUGCCAAGGAUGUUUUCAUUAAUCAAGAACGAAAGUUAGGGAUCGAAGACGAUCAGAUACCGUCGUAGUCUUAACCAUAAACUAUGCCGACUAGGGAUCGGAUGAUGUUAAUUUUUAAUGUACUCAUUCGGCGCCUUAAC